rnacentral:lncRNA from 1 species
GAAGAAGCCGCUCUGAUUUGGAGCCAAAACUGAAGACCGUAGCUGCCCUCUACAAACUCUUAUUACCCAGUGGUUACUGGACCUUAUCUCUUGAAUCUAAAACUUGUAAAGGUUUACUCUGUGCUUCGGAGAUCUCCCUGCUACUCAAAUUCGAGAGCUCUUCGAUUCUUUGUCCACUCACCUCGUAGAAGACUGACUACUCACCUUAAGCUAGCCUCCAGAAAACGCAAACCCCAGAUUGUACCCAAUGAGCCUUCUCCCUGUCAAACCACUACGCCUCAAGCCUCCUUCACCAUAACCUAAGAACCAUGAGUAGAAGACUCUCGUAUACUGAGAAAGGAAAAGGGUUGGCUGCUCCCCCG